CCAGAAAUGCAAGAACUCACAUACCGGAUCAAGAUUUCUAAAUUCCUUGCUGGUUUUGCAUGAGAUCUCCGUUUUCAAUAUUUUUUUUUUUAGCGAGAGAGAGAUUUGGUUGAGUUUAUGGAUAAGAAUUCAAAUUGCAAGAACUCACAUACCAGAUGAAGAUUUCUAAAUCACUUACUGCGUUCUACAAUUCAUCAAAACCCCACAAAAUUCCCCACAACCUGUCAGAAGAGACCGGUUUUUCAAUGAAUAUUUAGAGGCAGAGAGAGCAGCUUGGUUCAGUUUUAUGGCAAAUAAAUUACAAGAUUUCAGUCGGUUUUCAGAAGAGUACCAUAUGGCUACGUUUGUCGACAGUAGGCGAGGGGUAGUUUUUGUCGACAGGUGCGUUUUGGUUUCGUUUUUUACCUGUUGGAAGGAAUAUGGAAUUUGUGUGAAACGAGUGCCAUUUUUUUCGUAUCCGUCUCUCCAUACAAAAAGUUAAAAUGUCUGUGUCUUGAAAUUUG
rnacentral:lncRNA from 1 species